GACGAACGCUGGCGGCGUGCUUAACACAUGCAAGUCGAACGGAAAGGCCCUGCUUUUGUGGGGUGCUCGAGUGGCGAACGGGUGAGUAACACGCGAGUAACCUGCCCUUGACAUUGGGAUAACUUUAGGAAACUGGGGCUAAUACCGGAUAGGAGCUCCUGCUGCAUGGUGUGGGUUGGAAAGUUUCGGCGGUUGGGGAUGGACUCGCGGCUUAUCAGCUUGUUGGUGGGGUAGUGGCUUACCAAGGCUUUGACGGGUAGCCGGCCUGAGAGGGUGACCGGGCACAAUGGGACUGAGGUAGGGCCCAGAAUGCAACGGGAGGCAGUGGGGGGGAAUAUUGCACAAUGGGCGGAAGUCUGAUGCAGCAACGCCGCGUGCGGGAUGACGGCCUUCGGGUUGUAAACCGCUUUCGCCUGUGACGAAGAGUGAGUGACGGUAAUGGGUAAAGAAGCACCGGCUAACUACGUG
rnacentral:rRNA from 1 species